rnacentral:rRNA from 1 species
GAUGAACGCUGGCGGCGUGCCUAAUACAUGCAAGUCGAACGGUCACCUUUAGCUUCGGUUGAGGGUGAUAGUGGCGGACGGGUGAGUAACACGUAGGUGACCUGCCCUCGAGGGGGGGAUAACGCUUCGAAAGGAGUGCUAAUACCCCAUACGCCUGUAGGGAUUAGAAGCUUACAGGGAAAGCGAUAGUGCUCGAGGAGGGGCCUGCGGCCCAUCAGGUAGUUGGUGAGGUAACGGCUCACCAAGCCGAAGACGGGUAGGGGGCCUGAGAGGGUGGCCCCCCACAUGGGAACUGAGAGACGGUCCCAACUCCUACGGGAGGCAGCAGUAAGGAAUAUUGCACAAUGGGCGAAAGCCUGAUGCAGCAACGCCGCGUGCGCGAAGAAGGCCUUCGGGUCGUAAAGCGCUUUUCUGGUUGAAGAGGAAGGACAGUAAACCAGGAAUAAGUGUCGGCUAACUACGUG